GAUGAACGCUAGCUACAGGCUUAACACAUGCAAGUCGAGGGGCAGCAUGGUCUUAGCUUGCUAAGGCCGAUGGCGACCGGCGCACGGGUGAGUAACACGUAUCCAACCUGCCGUCUACUCUUGGACAGCCUUCUGAAAGGAAGAUUAAUACAAGAUGGCAUCAUGAGUCCGCAUGUUCACAUGAUUAAAGGUAUUCCGGUAGACGAUGGGGAUGCGUUCCAUUAGAUAGUAGGCGGGGUAACGGCCCACCUAGUCUUCGAUGGAUAGGGGUUCUGAGAGGAAGGUCCCCCACAUUGGAACUGAGACACGGUCCAAAACUCCUACGGGAGCAGCAGUGAGGAAUAUUGGUCAAAUGGGCGCUAGCCUGAACCAGCCAAGUAGCGUGAAGGAUGAAGGCUCUAUGGGUCGUAAAACUUCUUUUAUAUAAGAAUAAAGUGCAGUAUGUAUACUGUUUUGUAUGUAUAUAUGAAUAGGAU
rnacentral:rRNA from 1 species